rnacentral:rRNA from 1 species
CCUACGGGUGGCUGCAGUGAGGAAUAUUGGUCAAUGGGCGCGAGCCUGAACCAGCCAAGUAGCGUGAAGGAUGACUGCCCUACGGGUUGUAAACUUCUUUUAUAAAGGAAUAAAGUGAGGCACGUGUGCCUUUUUGUAUGUACUUUAUGAAUAAGGAUCGGCUAACUCCGUGCCAGCAGCCGCGGUAAUACGGAGGAUCCGAGCGUUAUCCGGAUUUAUUGGGUUUAAAGCGCUCGUAGGCGGUAUGUCAAGUCAAGGGUGAAAUCCCCGCGCUCAACGUGGGAACUGCCUUUGAAACUGGCAAACUGGAGUGUGUGAGAGGAUAGUGGAAGUCCAGGUGUAGGAGUGAAAUCCGUAGAUAUCUGGAGGAACAUCAGUGGCGAAGGCGACUAUCUGGCACAUAACUGACGCUGAGGAGCGAAAGUGUGGGUAUCAAACAGGAUUAGAUACCCCAGUAGUC